rnacentral:rRNA from 1 species
UACGGAGGGUGCGAGCGUUGUCCGGAUUUAUUGGGUCUAAAGGGUGCGUAGGCGGCCCGAUAAGUCAGCGGUGAAAGACCCCGGCUCAACCGGGGGGUUGCCGUUGAUACUGUCGGGCUUGGGUACGGUCUGGGUACAUGGAAUUGGUGGUGUAGCGGUGAAAUGCAUAGAUACCAUCAGGAACACCGAUAGCGUAGGCAUUGUACUGGGCCGUUACCGACGCUGAUGCACGAAAGCGCGGGUAUCGAACAGGAUUAGAUACCCUGGUAGUCCGCGCCGUAAACGAUGGACACUCGCUGUCAUGCCGGAAAGGCGUGGCGGCCAAGCGAAGGCGUUAAGUGUCCCACCUGGGGAGUACGCCGGCAACGGUGAA